rnacentral:lncRNA from 10 species
GGGUAGUAGAACAAUGGGAUUAUGCUGUCACAAAAACCAAAGAAAAAACAUAAUUUCUUAAAUCAUGGUCUGUCACUGAAUCUGGUUAUAAAACCUUAUCUUGCACUAGAAGGAUCUGUAGCUUUUCCAGCUGAGAAUGGGGUUCAGGAUACCGAAUCAACACAAGAAAAGAGAGAAACUGGGGAUGAAGAAAACUCAGCUAAAUUUCCUGUAGGAAGGAGAGAUUUUGACAUAUUCUCAGACCACUUCUACCAAAACAUAAAUCUGUGAUUGUGAUCUCUGAAAGUCAGUCCUUUUAUCUACUCAAAAGAAGACACUAAGGUUUUCAGAAAUUAAAUUGCUUUUUGGAAAAGGUGGGAGAUUCUGGGAACAUAGAAACUUGAAUCCAGUUUUCUUCAACUCCACGUCAAGACAGUUGCAUUGUGUGAGAAAAUAGCUACGGCCAUUUGUGACAAAAUCACAUAUAUGCAAUUAUGUGAAACUAACUGUGUAUAUAUAUCUGUGUAGAAAUAUGGGUAUAUAGAAAGGAAGAAAGCAAGGCUAACGGUGAGCAGUGGCUAAAUGAACAAGAGAACAUUCAUAACUGAUCUGAUAAUGUCAACUUUUGAAAACAGAUAGUUAUGACUCAAGGCUUUGAGAAUGUAAAGAGACCACCUUCACUUGUUGAGAAAUGGUACGAUUUCACGUUAUCAGUGCAGUUCCGUUCUCGGGGGAAAGCCCAUCCGUACUACCAGGAGACUGGAUCCGCAAAGUAGACACUUGGUCUCAUGAAGCCACUGCUGGGCUCCAGAGAGAAGGGAAAACUAAGAGGUUUUAAAACCCCUACCCUCCUUGGUUUACCUCCAUCAUUAAAAAACAACAAUGACAACGACAAC